ACCAAAAUGGUGUAGUGGUUUGAACACUGGACUAUGACUCUGGAGACCAGGUUUCGAAUUCCAGCUUCGCCA
rnacentral:tRNA from 1 species